rnacentral:lncRNA from 1 species
UGCAGAAUAAACUUUUUUCUUUCUUUCUUUCCAUUCAUUCAUUCCCUGAAUCGCAACCUUUACAAUUCUUCUUUAUACUAGAAUCAUAUUCAUUACAUGAUUUAUUUAACCUGAGUAGAUAUGAAUAUAUGUACAAUUUAUUAUUUCAAACAUAUUCCUAAUUAAGAACAAAUGAUCUUCAUCUAUUGAAUUAUUCAAAGAUUUACUUCUAUGUGGUUUACACAUGUAAUGAUUCAACACAAUCUCAAUUAAAUCACUAGUCUUCUUUUCAUGCGCUCCUAAUCACGAUAGAUCGCAUCAUAGCUUUAACCUGCAAAUUAAGCAAGAUUGAGCACGACGGCCCAUCAAGUCUAACAGUCUAUCAUGCAUCACAUAACACAUAGGUUUCACAUUCAGUUCAUGCAUUUAUAUUCUUGGUGUUCAAGCAUAUUACAAAUGCAUUAUCACAUUUAUAUCCUGCGGGUAGCAACAUACAUACCAUAUCAUACUACACAUGUCCUGUACAUGUCAUUCACUGCACAUAUAUAUUGAGUUCCCCGACUCAAUUCAAUAAUUAGUCAGAAUUUGACAUUCAUCAUUCACAAAGAAAAUAAUGCAGUUCAUAGGUAUUAAAUACUUAUAAACAUAAAUCAUGCUAACAGUUAUCUAUAGCAAUUAUAAGUCCACAUAAAUAAACUGAGAAACUUGUCUUGAUUGGAGAUUACCGUUAAACUUAACUUAGCUUUUUCCCAAAAUUCCUACACAAUCGUGUUUACAUAUACACACAUAUUAGGUAACCAUUUAUGUAACAAAAACAUGCAUGCAUAUAUAUUAACCAUGAUUAUUAGUAUAUAUAAACUAUAAUAUUUUAUUCUCAUCUUAAAACCAAUCUUGGUUUAUUAAGAAACUUUAUUCAUUUUAACCUUUUAUGCACAAUAAAGGUCUCACAUUUUUAAUAUGUAAAUAUUUUACAUCUUGAAGCUUAAAUCAUCCAUAUUCCAUUCUAGGAAUAUCUUAUGCCUUUACUCAUUAAUUUGGGACUUAAACAACUAAUAAAUAGCUUUUAUAGUAAAAUUCAAUUUACUAUAUUAUUCCUUUAAUAUAAAUAAUUUUUAUAUUAUUAUUUUGCAUGAUCAUGAGUUAACUCGAAUAAUUAUCUCAUAUAUAAAUAUUUUAUCCCGCUAACACAUUCGCUUAACUCUUCGUUUUGCAGAUAUUUACAUUUUCACUAUAUAUGAACGUAUUAGCCACACAACUAUGUCAUAUAACUUGUACAGUUAUAUUUUAAAUAUUCACAUUGACCACCUCUUUUCAAAAACAUUUAUUCUUUUACUCAAGGUAAUCAUUUCUCGCUUUAAUAGAUUUCGACAUGAUUUUACUUCAUGAAUAUCUCACAAUUUUAGUUUUAUAAUCCAAAAUAUAUGGGUAUUCCAUAUCUCUUAUACCUCACUUAAGUAUACAAGGUAUAUUCAUAGCUCAUUUCAUGCACCAAAUAUAAUUAUCACUUGUAUAGAUAAAUUAUAGCUUCCGUAAUAAUUUAUAGUUUCAUUUCCAUAAAUUUACGGGUUAAAUACUAUCGCGUUACCAGACAAUGCCAAAACAGCCCCUUUGUCAAGUAAUGCCGACAGCCAAGCCUUGCUUGGCCCUGCGUGGCUCGUUUGGGCUUGGCGUGGCCCUGAUUGGCCAAGCUGCCCCAAGCUUGGUCACCCAUCUUUAUUAGCUUUUAUCUUUUAAAGUACCAAUUCAUUCACAUUGAAUAUUAUAUAUUUUAUAACACAUGAACUUGUCUAUUUAGGAAAUUAAAAACUAAGCUUUAUGGGUAAAUUAUCAAUUUACACCACAAAGCCAAAAAUGUCCCACCAACGCUGAUAUAGUAGCUAUUUUCUAUUACUCGUUGCUGCCAUUAGGCACAGCUCUUACCCCUGUCCCUCGCAUCAUUUCGAGCAAUGUAUUUCCUAAUCUACUACUUUAAUUACUCUAAAAUUUUGAUAAGUUGUAAGUGAUACCACCGCCUAUAAAAAUGAACCACCAACUACAACAGAUAUUUAUACAAUGCGAACUAAAUUGCUUGCCAAGAAUUCGCCCAGCUGGCCCUACAGCACGCUGCUGUAGCCCACUGCUGCCGAAACGCAGCAACAUACUUCUCCUUUUUAGUCAUUUCAAGAAAUUCCUCACUUGAUAUUCUUACAUCUGAUUGCUCUUAAUUUUGAACACAAUCAACAUUGUAUUACCUAGUAUUUUAUAAAAUUAUCCCAUAACCAAAAAGGAUUCUUCAAGACACAUUUUUAGCGGUUCAAAAGUGGCCUGUUGGCAAAAUUUUUGGUUAAAACCAUUUUGAUGCAAAAGGGAUAGAACUCAAUUUGAACUGAAUUUGAAAUAACUACAGGACCUAAGUCACCUUAUAACUCAUGUAUGAACUUUACUUAGCCCCAACUAUGGGUAAAAUCUCAGUUUCUACUCACAUAUUCUCUAUGAAGCAUUUUUUUCAAACAACCUUUAUGCAUAACUUAAAACUCAGAAAUUCAUGAGUAUUUAAAUGGAGUCUAGCCCAGAUUUACAUUCUUAUCUCAAAAUAACCUGCAAUACAUUUCCUUUAUACCAAAUAACAGUCCAAGCAAAGCUCCAAAAAUGCCUUGUCAUAAAAGUUUUGAAUUGUUUUCCAGCUUUACCCUCUCUCGCUAAAAGAGUCUUAACUAAUUCGUUUCAAAACAUUUUUGAGCAAUUCUUGAGCCCACGCGAAGCUAACUUACGAGACUACAACUUUUAUUCUUUGACCUUUUCCAAAUUCUAAACACAGAAUUCCAGAAAAUCCGUGCAAGGUGACUGCCCCGAGUUGGUUAGACAGUUUUGACGCGACUACUUUGAAUGGUCAUAACUCUUUGCUCCGAAGUCGGAAUUAGUCCGUUCCGGAGUCUAUGGAAAGAUUGUUCAGUGUACUAUAAUACCCCAAAAGCCCAAAAUUUUCUGGAAACUCUUGCUAGCCCCGAAUUUGUCCUUAGGGUCAGCAGUUCACAAUUUUUCGGUUUCUAACAUGUUUUACUAAAGCCUUUACUAUAAAUUCGUUUUAGCUCCUUUUUGAUUCAUUCCAAUUGGAUUAUUUCCAGAACUUGUAGGAGCACAACCCACCAUUACUGCCUCCUAGAGUUUCCAACUUAUAUAGAAUGUUAAUUGAUUUAUUACAACAACUUUAACUAUACCGGCUGAGAAUUCAUGAGGAUCCUCAGCUCCACCACUACGUUGCUGCUACUGUCUAAAACAGUAGAUAUAACCCCUCUGUGUUGCACUUUGGAUAUCAUACAAGUUAUACUUGUAGCUCAUCCUAAAUUAUACCAGCUGGGCAUUCAGCGGUACCGACUGAGAACUUAAAAAUUUCCUUACCCAUCGCUGCUACAUUAGCUCUUCAUUGCUGCUCGCUGCUGCUGCUGCUGCUGCUAAACUGCUAUUACUGCUGCUGUCUUAGACACCAGUUACCCCUUUUCUCAGCUCUCCAUUACUACAUUUAAGAUUUAGGCCCAACUUUGGUAUGGUGUAGCUGUUAUAACAGCCAACUAAAAGAAAACAUUGGACCUCAGAAUAACAGUCCUUAGACUAUCCAAAACAGUUUGUUAACAUAACUUGACAUACCAAAAAUCCCACUUUUAGUUUUAGCUUUAAAAUUGCCCUUUGUUCCAUUUAAUAUGUUACAAUACUUUACUUAUCCACAUACAAGGUGUAUAUUCAUAACUCAAGCUUUAGUUCCAUCAAUUUUUUUUGGGUUUUUGUCAAAACAGUUAGUUGGAGCAUUUUAACAAACACCUCAUCUGCACAGUUUCAAUUCACCCUCUUUAUGGCCAUUGGUUUACAUCAUAAACCCAUUUUAGUCUCCUUAUUCCUUCUCAGUCCAACCUAUCUCCUUGUGCCUAAUUUCAAUUCAAAGCAAUACAAGAAUAUCAUAGCAGUCACUUACUUCCUAAAGCAGUAACAUAGCAACUUAAAAAUUUUAAUGUAACAGUUUUAGUGGUAAAUGCCCAUAGUCUUGUAUAGCUACUCUGUUAUCCAAUUUGUUUCAUAUAAUCAGAAACACAAGGUCUUAUUCAUAGCAUACUGGUAUUAGUUGGUAAGCAAAAUAGAAAGGAAACUAAUACACACCAACUACAUUAAAAUAUUAACAAAACUAAUACGAGAAACAUCCCCUUUAUUUUCCUUUCAGGCCAUUCGGCAACUGCAGUUAACUAGUAGCAUGAGAAUGAAGUGGAAGAGAACUGGAAAGCUUACCUUAAUAGCUCAGAAGUUGCAAUUGACUGCUGCUCAAUUUCUUCUCUUUCUCUCUAUGGGUGUUACGGUUUUGGAGCUCAGUUAGUAUCAUAACAACUGAGUUGGAGAUACCUUAUAUGGCUACAUGUAAUCUGAGAAGGCUGGCUUAGCCAUCAUUACCUACAACCAGUCCCAUCAUUAUAUCUACUUGGCUGCUACUUUGGCCCCUACACAGCCACCUAUCUUGGCCUCUAAAACUCCCCUAUUGCAGUCUACUUCUAGCAGCUAGUUGGCUUUGCAGUGACCCCU